rnacentral:rRNA from 1 species
UCAGAUGCGAAAGCGUGGGUAGCAAACAGGAUUAGAUACCCUGGUAGUCCACGCCGUAAACGCUGUCUACUUGGAGGUUGAGGUUUUGGACUUUGGCUUUCGGCGCUAACGCAUUAAGUAGACCGCCUGGGGAGUACGGCCGCAAGGUUAAAACUCAAAUGAAUUGACGGGGGCCCGCACAAGCGGUGGAGCAUGUGGUUUAAUUCGAUGCAACGCGAAGAACCUUACCUACUCUUGACAUCCAGCGAAGCCUUUAGAGAUAGAGGCGUGCCUUCGGGAGCGCUGAGACAGGUGCUGCAUGGCUGUCGUCAGCUCGUGUUGUGAAAUGUUGGGUUAAGUCCCGCAACGAGCGCAACCCUUAUCCUUGUUUGCCAGCACGUAAUGGUGGGAACUCCAGGGAGACUGCCGGUGAUAAACCGGAGGAAGGUGGGGACGACGUCAAGUCAUCAUGGCCCUUACGAGUAGGGCUACACACGUGCUACAAUGGCAGAUACAGGGGGCAGCGAGACAGCGAUGUUUAGCGAAUCCCUUAAAGUUUGUCGUAGUCCGGAUUGGAGUCUGCAACUCGACUCCAUGAAGUCGGAGUCGCUAGUAAUCGUGGAUCAGAAUGCCACGGUGAAUACGUUCCCGGGCCUUGUACACACCGCCC